rnacentral:rRNA from 1 species
CCCCACCACUAAGCCAGUGGUGAACUCCACAUACGCAUCCUUUGCUGAGGAUACGGUUAACGGAGCGAAAGCGACGUUCAACCUCAAAAGAAGCAGAGGGGGCUUAGUGGUGGGGUGACUGCGUACCUUUUGUAUAAUGGGUCAGCGACUUAUAUUCUGUAGCAAGGUUAACCGAAUAGGGGAGCCGGAGGGAAACCGAGUCUUAAUUGGGCGUUAAGUUGCAGGGUAUAGACCCGAAACCCGGUGAUCUAGCCAUGGGCAGGUUGAAGGUUGGGUAACACUAACUGGAGGACCGAACCGACUAAUGUUGAAAAAUUAGCGGAUGACCUGUGGCUGGGGGUGAAAGGCCAAUCAAACCGGGAGAUAGCUGGUUCUCCCCGAAAGCUAUUUAGGUAGCGCCUCGUGAAUUCAUCUCCGGGGGUAGAGCACUGUUUCGGCUAGGGGGCCAUCCCGGCUUACCAACCCGAUGCAAACUGCGAAUACCGGAGAAUGUUAUCACGGGAGACACACGGCGGGUGCUAACGUCCGUCGUGAAGAGGGAAACAACCCAGACCGCCAGCUAAGGUCCCAAAGUCAUGGUUAAGUGGGAAACGAUGUGGGAAGGCCCAGACAGCCAGGAUGUUGGCUUAGAAGCAGCCAUCAUUUAAAGAAAGCGUAAUAGCUCACUGGUCGAGUCGGCCUGCGCGGAAGAUGUAACGGGGCUAAACCAUGCACCGAAGCUGCGGCAGCGAACGUAUCACUUAAAGCGAUUCAGCGGGUUACGAUUGACGGAGCGAAGCGACGUCAAAGCGUAUACAAAGUCGAGUCGGUUUAAGGAUACGUUCGUUGGGUAGGGGAGCGUUCUGUAAGCCUGCGAAGGUGGCCUGUGAGGGUUGCUGGAGGUAUCAGAAGUGCGAAUGCUGACAUAAGUAACGAUAAAGCGGGUGAAAAGCCCGCUCGCCGGAAGACCAAGGGUUCCUGUCCAACGUUAAUCGGGGCAGGGUGAGUCGACCCCUAAGGCGAGGCCGAAAGGCGUAGUCGAUGGGAAACGGGUUAAUAUUCCCGUACUUGGUGUUACUGCGAAGGGGGGACGGAGAAGGCUAUGUUGGCCGGGCGACGGUUGUCCCGGUUUAAGCGUGUAGGCUGGUUUUCCAGGCAAAUCCGGAAAAUCAAGGCUGAGGCGUGACGACGAGGCACUACGGUGCUGAAGCAACAAAUGCCCUGCUUCCAGGAAAAGCCUCUAAGCAUCAGGUAACAUCAAAUCGUACCCCAAACCGACACAGGUGGUCAGGUAGAGAAUACCAAGGCGCUUGAGAGAACUCGGGUGAAGGAACUAGGCAAAAUGGUGCCGUAACUUCGGGAGAAGGCACGCUGACAUGUAGGUGAAGUGAUUUACUCAUGGAGCUGAAGUCAGUCGAAGAUACCAGCUGGCUGCAACUGUUUAUUAAAAACACAGCACUGUGCAAACACGAAAGUGGACGUAUACGGUGUGACGCCUGCCCGGUGCCGGAAGGUUAAUUGAUGGGGUCAGCGCAAGCGAAGCUCCUGAUCGAAGCCCCGGUAAACGGCGGCCGUAACUAUAACGGUCCUAAGGUAGCGAAAUUCCUUGUCGGGUAAGUUCCGACCUGCACGAAUGGCGUAAUGAUGGCCAGGCUGUCUCCACCCGAGACUCAGUGAAAUUGAACUCGCUGUGAAGAUGCAGUGUACCCGCGGCAAGACGGAAAGACCCCGUGAACCUUUACUAUAGCUUGACACUGAACAUUGAGCCUUGAUGUGUAGGAUAGGUGGGAGGCUUUGAAGUGUGGACGCCAGUCUGCAUGGAGCCGACCUUGAAAUACCACCCUUUAAUGUUUGAUGUUCUAACGUGGACCCGUUACCCGGGUUGCGGACAGUGUCUGGUGGGUAGUUUGACUGGGGCGGUCUCCUCCUAAAGAGUAACGGAGGAGCACGAAGGUUGGCUAAUCCUGGUCGGACAU